CCUACGGGGGGCUGCAGUGGGGAAUAUUGGACAAUGGGGGCAACCCUGAUCCAGCCAUGCCGCGUGUGUGAAGAAGGCCCUCGGGUUGUAAAGCACUUUCAGUGAGGAAGAACGCCUGGUGGUUAAUACCCAUCAGGAAAGACAUCACUCACAGAAGAAGCACCGGCUAACUCCGUGUCAGCAGCCGCGGUAAUACGGAGGGUGCGAGCGUUAAUCGGAAUUACUGGGCGUAAAGCGCGCGUAGGUGGCUUGAUAAGCCGGUUGUGAAAGCCCCGGGCUCAACCUGGGAACGGCAUCCGGAACUGUCAAGCUAGAGUGCAGGAGAGGAAGGUAGAAUUCCCGGUGUAGCGGUGAAAUGCGUAGAGAUCGGGAGGAAUACCAGUGGCGAAGGCGGCCUUCUGGACUGACACUGACACUGAGGUGCGAAAGCGUGGGUAGCAAACAGGAUUAGAUACCCUGGUAGUC
rnacentral:rRNA from 1 species